rnacentral:miRNA from 1 species
CCCGUGGGGUAGAACGCAU